rnacentral:rRNA from 1 species
CCAAUAGCGUAUAUUAAAGUUGUUGCAGUUAAAAAGCUCGUAGUUGAAUUUCGGGAUCAAGUCGUCGGUCGUGCCUCGGUACGCACUGGUGACAUUGGUUUCUCCCUUCUGAAGAACCUUGAUGUCAUUAAUUUGGUGUCUUGGGGAAUCAGGACUGCUACUUUGAAAAAAUUAGAGUGUUUAAAGCAGGCUCACGCUUGAAUACAUUAGCAUGGAAUAAUGAAAUAGGACGUUUGAUUCUAUUUUGUUGGUUUCUAGGAUCGACGUAAUGAUUAAUAGGGAUAGUUGGGGGCAUUAGUAUUCAAUUGUCAGAGGUGAAAUUCUUGGAUUUAUUGAAGACUAACUACUGCGAAAGCAUUUGCCAAGGAUGUUUUCAUUAAUCAAGAACGAAAGUUAGGGGAUCGAAGACGAUCAGAUACCGUCGUAGUCUUAACCAUAAACUAUGCCGACUAGGGAUCGGAUGAUGUUAAUUUUUUUAAUGACUCAUUCGGCGCCUUACG